GAAAUGCGAUAAGUAAUGUGAAUUGCAGAAUUCAGUGAAUCAUCGAAUCUUUGAACGCACAUUGCGCCCCCUGGUAUUCCGGGGGGCAUGCCUGUUCGAGCGUCAUUUCACCACUCAAGCCUCGCUUGGUAUUGGGCGACGCGGUCCGCCGCGCGCCUCAAAUCGACCGGCUGGGUCUUCCGUCCCCUCAGCGUUGUGGAAACUAUUCGCUAAAGGGUGCCGCGGGAGGUCACGCCGCAAAACAACCCCAUUUCUAAGGUUGGCCUCGGAUCAGGUAGGGAUACCCGCUGAACUUAAGC
rnacentral:misc_RNA from 1 species